ensembl:lncRNA
ACCAAUUAUCCCCCACAGUAUUUAUACCAGCCCAUCACCCGCUCCUGGCUACAUUGUCAAUGUGGCUUAUUGUUUUAGUGGUCCAGCUGCUUCCACACGAACCUGGUAACCUGUGGACUUUUGUUUGGACUUGCUGGUUUUGCCUGAAAGCUUCUGACAGAGGCUUACCUGAGGGGACGUGCAGGACUUCUGCCGACACUAAACGGAUCACGGAAGCAGCUCGCUACACGCCUCGCUGAUGAAGACAUCACCACAUAGCUAUGCAAAGGGAGAGAUGAAACCUCACCGCAGGCACCGUCAUGUUUUAAAGAGCUGUUUUAACUAUUACAACAGUGAACUGAAGAGACACUCGCAUUUAACUCUUCUCGGACUCUGGUGAGUACGCUCUCAGCAGCUCUGGUGCUACCGCUGUGGUGCAGUCCUCCUGUACCACACCUGCACCUUAUACACACAUCAUAAAAUGAAUCCCUUUCACAAUAGCCAGUUUAAAGUGGUAUUAAUGUGUAUUUUGUUUCAGAAUGAGAACAUCUGUAGACUCAAAACUUCAGUUUGUGGUCCAAGUGAAUCAUCACCAUCUGUGGAAAGUGCUGCACCAAGUCAUGGCUCAGGAACCCCUCUGUGACUGUGUGUGUGUGUGUGUGUGUGUGUGUGCGUGUGUGUGUGCAUAGUGCGUGUAAGAGCGAGGUGUACCAGUACUCUAGAGGGCAGCAUGAGACCAUGUAGGAUGAGUAGCACCUCUAAGACUUCUUAAAUGGGGGGGGGGGGUCUAUGAUCUUUGAUAGAUCCAUAGAAAGUAUUAAGAACAACGUGAGGGACAAAUACUCGCACCUGCUUGAAGAUCUGCAGGGGCCAAUCAUAUUCCAGGAGUGGAUUGAUGUUUGCUGAAGUACUUGUGAGAAAUUAUUGAUAAAUAAAUAGACAUUAAUUAAAUGCAUGUGACAGAAGAGAAGCCUAAUCACAGCUGAGCCGUGUGAAUAUUGCCUGAGACAAAAACAAACGAUCGACCCCAAAAAAGGUCAAAUGAUUGUGAAUGACGCUCGAUGCUUGUUAUGAAUUGAAAUCACUUAUAAUUGACGACUAAUAGUUCACUUCAGUUUUUUGAUUUACAACUUUUACUGUCAGCAGAGCAUAUAUUACAACAGCAGUUUAUACAGCAUGUGUCAGAUCAAUCCAUAGAUCACAUGUGAUAAAUAGGCCCACAUUCCAUGUUAGUCCAUGAAAAUCACCUUCACACAGUUUUACAGCAUGUUGAUAACAGGAGCUGAACUCUAUUACAGGAUUGUCCGCUGUCAUCACAGUCCCAGAGUAGACUGAGGAGGGCUGGAAACCCGACUCUGCUGUUUGUGAGUCCAGGGACGAACAAGCAGGAUUAGUCUCGGAAUGAUAAGGCCUCCGAACAUUGUGAACCCGUGCAAACACUCUUUGAGUCUCUAUCCCCUGCCGACAACAUGCUAUGUUUUAACAUUAUGUUCCUACGCUGUGCCAUAUAUCACUAUAUCAAAGAGGCAUUGGGUGAAUCAACACACGGUCAGUUAAGGGGCCACAUGAAGCUAAUGGCACAUGAACAUAUGCUUGUUGGAAGCCACUGGACGGCUAUUGUUUAGAGUUUUUAAAAUAAAUCAUAUUUGAAACAUAUGUAACAU